GGCAUCCAUUAGUUGUAAGAAAAAUACGUAUUCUCUCUCCUUUUUUUUAAUUAUACUUUAUGUUCUAGGGAUGCAGUUGGAAAUGCGUUCUCUUUUUAUGAUCCCAAGAAAAGAGAAGUGUAUGAGAAAAGAGGUUUGCCAACACUUGCCUUAGAAGACAGAAGCUAGUAGGUUCAAUUCAUUGCACCUUGUUUCCUGUAACUAGCUCGUCUCUGUUGCCUUCAACACAAAACAGCUGGAAUAAUUUAAAGCAUUUUUACCUCCUUUACUGAAGAACUUUUCGUGUGUUCCUAUUGUUUAUAUUGUUAAUAAAAUAUUUCAGUUCUUCUAAUAA
rnacentral:lncRNA from 1 species